rnacentral:misc_RNA from 1 species
GAUCGUCCAUCGGCUAUGAAGAUGCUAUAAGUUCACAGUACAAAGAGAGCAAUCAUUUGCUAUCCCUCCAGCAGAAUGAAAACCCAGCUAUGUGGAUUCAUGGACCUGGUUCCCGAACAAUGUCUGCCGUUCCCGCUAGUGCGUAUUACGGUCUCCAAGGGCAGAACCAACAAUCUAGUGGAUUCCGACAAGCUCAGCAGCCUUCGCAACAAUAUG